AUUGAACGCUGGCGGCAGGCUUAACACAUGCAAGUCGAGCGGAGAUGAGGUGCUUGCACCUUAUCUUAGCGGCGGACGGGUGAGUAAUGCUUAGGAAUCUGCCUAUUAGUGGGGGACAACAUUCCGAAAGGAAUGCUAAUACCGCAUACGUCCUACGGGAGAAAGCAGGGGAUCUUCGGACCUUGCGCUAAUAGAUGAGCCUAAGUCGGAUUAGCUAGUUGGUGGGGUAAAGGCCUACCAAGGCGACGAUCUGUAGCGGGUCUGAGAGGAUGAUCCGCCACACUGGGACUGAGACACGGCCCAGACUCCUACGGGAGGCAGCAGUGGGGAAUAUUGGACAAUGGGGGGAACCCUGAGCCAGCCAUGCCGCGUGUGUGAAGAAGGCCUUAUGGUUGUAAAGCACUUUAAGCGAGGAGGAGGCUACUGAGACUAAUACUCUUGGAUAGUGGACGUUACUCGCAGAAUAAGCACCGGCUAACUCUGUGCCAGCAGCCGCCGCGGUA
rnacentral:rRNA from 1 species